rnacentral:rRNA from 1 species
GAUGAACGCUAGCGGCAGGCCUAAUACAUGCAAGUCGAACGGGAUCCAGAUCAAAGCUUGCUUUGGUCUGGUGAGAGUGGCGCACGGGUGCGUAACGCGUGAGCAACCUACCCUUGUCAGGGGGAUAGCCCGGCGAAAGUCGGAUUAAUACCGCAUGACAUCAUUGAGAGGCAUCUUUCGAUGAUCAAAGAUUUAUCGGACAAGGAUGGGCUCGCGUGACAUUAGCUAGUUGGUAAGGUAACGGCUUACCAAGGCUGCGAUGUCUAGGGGCUCUGAGAGGAGAAUCCCCCACACUGGUACUGAGACACGGACCAGACUCCUACGGGAGGCAGCAGUAAGGAAUAUUGGUCAAUGGACGGAAGUCUGAACCAGCCAUGCCGCGUGCAGGAAGACGGCCCUAUGGGUUGUAAACUGCCUUUAUACGGGAACAAACGUCGGUACGUGUACCGGUCUGAGUGUACCGUAAGAAUAAGGAUCGGCUAACUCCGUG